rnacentral:rRNA from 1 species
CUACGGUCGCUCCAGUGAGGAAUUUUGCGCAAUGGGGGAAACCCUGACGCAGCAACGCCGCGUGAGCGAAGAAGGCCUUCGGGUCGUAAAGCUCUGUCAAGUGGGAAAAAAAUUCUUUGAUGAACAGUCAAAGGACUUGAUGGUACCACUGGAGGAAGCACCGGCUAACUCCGUGCGCAGCAGCCGCGGUAAUACGGAGGGUGCAAGCGUUGUUCGGAAUUACUGGGCGUAAAGAGCGUGUAGGCGGUUUGACAAGUCAGAUGUGAAAGCCCCGGGCUCAACCCGGGAAGUGCAUUUGAAACUGUUUCACUCGAGAAUGGGAGAGGAGAGUGGAAUUCCUGGUGUAGAGGUGAAAUUCGUAGAUAUCAGGAGGAACACCCGUGGCGAAGGCGAUUCUCUGGACCAAUACUGACGCUGAGACGCGAAAGCGUGGGGAGCAAACAGGAUUAGAUACCCGAGUAGUC